rnacentral:snRNA from 1 species
UCUAGGUCUACGUUAAUGAUA